AAGAUUUCUUUAAAAAUAUUGUUUGCUCGGAUUGUUAAUUGUUACAUCCUUAAGGAAGUCAACAGUAAAACAAAUCAAGUUACAAAACUUAAACGCCGCAUUUCGGGUUGUAACAGACUCUCGGAUGUUUAUUGUGGAAAUAUGUUACAAUCUUUUUGUAAAUGUAGGUUAUGAAAUGGUCCCACACGGUAGAAUGGAGGGCAAUGUAAAGGACUCAAAUGCCCAAAACUAUUAUGCCAAAUGAGCGGCACUAGAUGUCCUUAGAAAAGCCUCGUCGGACCUCAAUACAAAGAUCUCUGCGCUUGGUAAGUAAAGUGGGUUCCACGCUGAAUUGUCUCCCAAUGAGCUUUCUAAUCUCUUCAGGCGAUGUUGAAGAGUGUAGGAAAAGAUGACAAGUUUCAACUGUAUCGGGUGUUACAUACAGGAUGUAUAUUGUUCAGUCUGGCAAAAAAAUGUUUUCAGAGAAAUUAAUUCAAACAACCAGUCAAGUGGAGAUUGAGCUCUGCCAAGCUGGUACCAUAGAGAUUUUCCUCUUGUCCGUAUCACAACGCGGAACCGGAAACAACAAGAACGGGAAGAGAUUGCACUCAGGCAUAUGGCGCGAUGAUUCCCUUGCUAGCAAUUAUAUUUAGAAGCCAUUACAGCACAGCCAACAAACUCUUUGACCAAAUAAAGAAUAUUCCAAAAAUGUUCCUUCUUGUCAUGGGUUUUUUUCUUU